UCUGUGCAAUGGCGAAAGCCUGACGCAGCGACGCCGCGUGAGGGAGGAAGGCCUUCGGGUUGUAAACCUCUUUCAGGAGGGACGAAGCUACUCGGGUGAAUAGCCCAGAGGGUGACGGUACCUCCAGAAGAAGCCCCGGCUAACUACGUGCCAGCAGCCGCGGUAAUACGUAGGGGGCAAGCGUUGUCCGGAUUUACUGGGCGUAAAGAGCGUGUAGGCGGCCAAACAGGUCCGUUGUGAAAACUGGAGGCUUAACCUCCAGACGUCGACGGAAACCGUGUGGCUAGAGUCCGGAAGAGGAGAGUGGAAUUCCUGGUGUAGCGGUGAAAUGCGCAGAUAUCAGGAAGAACACCAAUGGCGAAGGCAGCUCUCUGGGACGGUACUGACGCUGAGACGCGAAAGCGUGGGGAGCGAACAGGAUUAGAUACCCUGGUAGUCCACGCCGUAAACGAUGGGUGCUAGGUGUGGGAGGUGUCGACUCCUUCCGUGCCGUAGCUAACGCAUUAAGCACCCCGCCUGGGGAGUACGGCCGCAAGGCUAAAACUCAAAGGAAUUGACGGGGCCCCGCACAAGCAGCGGAGCAUGUGGUUUAAUUCGAUGCAACGCGAAGAACCUUACCAGGGCUUGACAUGCACUGGAAAUCCGUAGAAAUACGGCCCUCCUUCGGGACCAGUGCACAGGUGGUGCAUGGCU
rnacentral:rRNA from 1 species